CCAUGAAAUUUUAUCUUAUUUUUAUGCGUGCAAUUUUACAGUUAUUCUGUUUCAUCAAUCAAAUAAUCACGCUUUAAAAAACAAAAUUAACCUCUAAUUACAUCGUUUAUUUGGUUCUAAAUAGUGUCAUUCUCUAAUUAUUUAUUCAUUCGCACAAUCAAACCACUCCAUAGUGUUACCAAUUAAACACAAAAAUGGGCGAAAAAAUUGAAAUGUAAAUUCAUGAUCCAUAUGUACAUAAAAACGAGACAUUUCUACAUUUUCGCUCAUUUUUU
rnacentral:lncRNA from 1 species